rnacentral:rRNA from 1 species
UACGGAGGGUGCAAGCGUUAAUCGGAAUUACUGGGCGUAAAGCGUGCGUAGGCGGCAAGUUAAGUCUGCUGUGAAAUCCCUGGGCUCAACCUGGGAAUGGCGGUGGAUACUGGCUUGCUGGAGUACGGUAGAGGAAGGUGGAAUUCCCGGUGUAGCGGUGAAAUGCGUAGAGAUCGGGAGGAACAUCAGUGGCGAAGGCGACCUUCUGGACCAGUACUGACGCUGAGGCACGAAAGCGUGGGGAGCAAACAGGGAUUAGAUACCCUGGUAGUCCACGCCCUAAACGAUGCGAACUGGAGGUUGGGUGCAACUUGGCACGCAGUCUCGAAGCUAACGCGUUAAGUUCGCCGCCUGGGGAGUACGGUCGCAAGACUGAAACUC